GUGCCCGCACCCUCAGGGCAUGGCGGCCUUCUCCCCCGCAAACCAUCGCAGCUCUUCUACCUUCCCCCCUCGGCUUCGUACUUCCAGACCGUCCGCACACCGCGCAGAGGACGGCUCCCCUCCAAGCUCCAUAGGACCGACCCCGCAGGACCUCUAAAGACACCCUCAGGGCCCGAGGGCAUGAACCGGAAGGUGCGUUACGUCAUCAAUACGCGCCACCUCCGCCUGCUCCGCGCGGCGCUCUUUGGAGACGUCACUUCCGGCGCGGCGCUGCCGGUAGGAUGACAGCGGAAGGAAACAAGCAGAGCCGUGCUGGGCCCGGCGCCUUGCUGCGGCUCCCGUUCUCACCGGGAAAAGAAAAAUAAAAAUUAAGCAGUGACGUGAGAUAAACCCGAGACAGGAAAAACAAGAUCUUCCUCCCCACGCUAGCUUCGUGUUGUCUGUGUAUGCGCACACUGUAGAGCUAAACCACAGGAAAAAUGGAAAGCUGAGACUUUGCAGCUGGUAAAAGGAAGUCAGGAGAUUGGGGAGAUCCCAGAGGAAGAAGGUCACUGCCAUGUUGUCUGCAAAGGAUUCUGGAAGAAGAGAGCUGCUGCCAAGAGUGAAGGUCACCAGACUCCCAGAGGACAUUUAUUGGAAACAGUAUUGGCUGUGACUUCUGUGUUGCUCUGUAAUGUGAUAACCAGCAACGAGCUGAGCUCACCACAAGGCCAGAGAGGAAAAAACCUUGCUUUGAAAAGAUGUAGCCCUUCCGAAGAGGAACAGAAUAACCCUUACUGGAGACACGGAGCCGUAUUCAUCAGCCUUAUGGGGAGGUAAAAAUGAUCAAACUGUGCUUAUCACAACUCCUAUUGCUUUAAGUAUCCUGAGAAAAAUGAUAAGCCAAGGGGGCACCCGGAUUUGAACCGGGGACCUCUUGAUCUGCAGUCAAAUGCUCUACCACUGAGCUAUACCCCCUGCUGCUGCCUGCCUGCCCAGCACGAAUUUUCCGAGCCAUUCCAGACGUGAAUAAAUUCCUGCAAAUCAUUCCCAG
ensembl:lncRNA